rnacentral:rRNA from 1 species
AUUUUGACUGUGCAAAGGUAGCAUAAUCAUUAGUCUUUUAAUUGAGGACUGGUAUGAAUGGUUUAACGAAGUAUUAACUGUCUCAUUUUAAUAAAUUGAAUUUAACUUUUGAGUUAAAAGGCUUAAAUGAAGUUAGAGGACGAGAAGACCCUAUAGAGCUUUAUAAAUUAAAUAUUAAGUUGGAUUUGGAAGUUUUGUUUAAUUUAAAUAGAAAAUUUAUUUUAUUGGGGUGAUAUAAAGAUUUAAUGAACUCUUUAUAAUAAUUAAACACUAAUAUGUGAAUAAUUGAUCCAUUUUUAGUGAUUAUAAGAUUAAGUUACCUUAGGGAUAACAGCGUAAUGUUUUUUGAGAGUUCUUAUCAACAAAAAAGAUUGCGACCUCGAUGUUGGAUUAAGGAAAAAGUUGGG